GGAGGGAUACCCAAACUUAAUUAUAUAAGCAAUUCUAAUUAAUAUUUAUUCUGUAAAAUACUAUACUGAAUUUUUGUUUAGUUUUUGUUCUUUCGGAUAGCCAUCAAAGUAAAUACCUGUAUAGUAUUUAUUUAAAAAAACAGAAGUCACUACUGUACAUCACUCUCUCAAAUGCAUGGAUGUUCAAGGGUAAUUGUGUGUUGAGAUGCUGCUGAAGGUUAAUUUUCUUCACUUCUGAUCAAAUAGUAUUUUUGCUUUAUUAAUUUUUGUUGAAAGAUAAAACAGCUUGCCUAUGGAUGUGUGCAGAUGUGUUUUGCAUAUACAUGCAAUGAAGUAGAAUUAAAAUGUAAAGCAAAGCAGUUAAUUCUCUGUAAUGACUUCACCCCUGAUCACAGGAAAGGGAAUGCAUCUUCCUAUGGACAGAGAGCAAGCACUAAAUAAUGAGCACUAAACAAUCACUUUCUUUCAUAUAAAGAAAGAAAUAUUUUGUACCACAGCACAUAUAUUGCAUCCCCCCUUUAGUUUUCUGUAAUCUGCAUAAUUAUCUGAUUACCCCAUAACUGGAAGGACUGGAAUUAAGUGCCUCCUUUUAUGAUCAUUAUGACUGCAAGUUGAAGGAAGAGGAGGAGCUGCAGCAGUCCUAAUUUUACUUAAAAUACUGGACUUAACCUAUGUGAGAACACUGAGGAGCACAAUCCCUUAGAGAAGGGUCACCAUUGAAACAAGUGUAACUGCGUACUGUUUGUUGCUCUAAAGAAUUCGAGAAUUGAAAUGAAGAUUGCCAGGAAGGAAUAAAAGGUGAAUUCUACAAGCAAACUUCAUCUGGAAAAGUGUGCGUGUAUGUGUGUGUUUUGGGAUGCUGGGAAGACUCUUCUCUCCCCUGCCCUCUGAAAAAGUUGUACUUUGAAUCCUGUAUUUCAUUAAUGAUUGUAAAGAAAACAGAAAAACCUCAAAUCAGUUUGAUGUUCAGCAAUAUAAAACCAUAAAUAAGCUAGAUUGAAUGCAUCGUUCUAAUCCAUCCUAACUACAUACUCCUUUGUUCUUCUGUCAAAAGUAUUUUCUUUGAAAGAACCUAGUCAAGUCUGGUCACUCCUUGUUUAAAGUUUUUUUUUUAAUUCAUUCAAGGUUUUUCCAGUGUAUGUGUAAAAUUGUUAGUUUUGUAAUGUGGCUUUUGUUUCACUAGGUUUCAGGGGACUGAUUAAAAUGAUUAUGUUUUUCAGCAUGUUCUCCAACAUGAAGUAGAAUGAUAUAAAGUAAACACUACUGUUAAGGACUUGAAACUCCAAUUCCUUGGAAUAUGUCAGAGGUAAACCUGAAGAAUUCCUUACAUUCAGUCAGACUGAAAAUACUUUGUCAUUUUUACUAAUGCUUAUAAACCUGAGUUUCGUAGGACUGCCUGACCUUUUGAAAUAAGGAUGACAGUUAAGAUCAACUGACAAGUAACUGCUUAUACUGUCUGCAGGACUUAAGAAUCAUCUCAGAGCAUGUGACCUGGAUUCCUUUGGGGUAAAAUGAGACAGGAAGGUGUGCUGCAACCACUACAUUCAACCCAUGUGCUCAGACUAAAGCUAUUCCAAAGUAAACACCCAGAAAUGUGCAUCGGUGCUGAGAGUUUGACAUCAACACAACUUUUGCUCUACAACUGGGCUUCUUUGGGACUAGUCCACUUGCUAAAGCAGACACAAGUAUGUACAAAGACAGCAGAGUCGGCAUACA